AAAACCCACCGCACUUUCCUAUCUCGCUUUCAAAUUUAUUUUGAAUUUCUGCGAUUUCGCUCUCAAAUUUCGCUAGGCUUCUUGGUUGCUCCGGCGCUCCCUCCGUGGCGUUGUUGCUGCUCCGGCGAUCUUUCGCUCUCUGCUCAGUGCCAUACCGUCGAGAAAUGCGCCAGCCACAAGCAAGGGAUGAUGACUCCGAGCCAAGGGCAAGCGGCAUUGCUGACAUUCUGCUCCUGUAUUAGCCUCACUACCGUUGACCUUGUUCUUACAGACUGUUCCGGACAUUGGUAACAACUGGUUUUGGAUCAUUGCAUUGAGCCCCUUAGCUGGAGCACACUAUUGGAUGCAGGCAUCGUGGAAGGAGCAAAUUAAGGUAAAGAUGAUAGUGGCGGAAGACGGACGCUAUCGGAGAUCGUUGAGCAGAUGAGGAAGGAGCUUUAGCUCAGUGAGAAGGGAAUGGUUUAUGUAAAAGGCAUAUUCAAGAGAUGAUCAACGCCCCAGCACUUCUGAUGGAGUGUUGGUCAUCCAACACUCGAAGCAAUACUUACUGCAAGGGCAUGCUAUUACUAGGAAGCUUAAUUCUGAUGGUAAGGUGGAUACCAUGCAGACACUGCACAACCUAAAUGAAGGUAUUGAAUUUUCUUGUUUGUUAAAUGCCGGAUUCCCAAAAAUGGUUCAUUCAUAUAGCUCAUGACUAUCUAGAUGAGCUGCCUCAAUUUGAACAAGCCUGGAAGAAAAAUGCUAGAAAGCAUUUGCCUGGUUGGAGCGAGCAUUUUGAUGGCCAUGUUGGACGGGCCACAGUCAAGCAUUGCCUUUGUUGGACAAGGAUCAUGAAGAGAGGGCAAAAAGAUGUGAAUUUGUGUCUGAGCUAUUAUGGUCCACCAUCAUUGACGAUAAUUUAUGAGUAGGUGCAGAAUGGCGGGUGAUCUGGAGCUUACGUGACCGCGAAUCCGGCCCUACAAUCUUUAUGGUUGGCCUGGGGUGAAUGUGUUGUUUGCUGAUGUAUUAAAAUAGGAAGCAAGGGAAUAAGGUUUAUAAGCUAAAAUGUAAUUCUUUGCUUGUCGAUUUCGGUUUUGACCUGAGGAAACAAUGCUGUGCAUAGCUCUUGUGUGAUGCUUGGACCUCUCAAAAGUAACGAUAUUGAAGAACUUUUCUUUA